GCCUCACCUGGUGCCAAGCCAGCUGUUUACUUUCCCGCCAUUUCCAGCUCUUCGUGAGGAGAACUGGAUGAUUUCCUGAGAUCUGAGGCCUUCUGGAAUCACAGCGGCCAAGCGGAAUGGAUUGGUUUCACUGCAACCAGUGCUUCCGAAAAGAUGGGGCCCAUUUCUUUGUCACUAGCUGCGGCCAUAUUUUCUGCAAAAAGUGUAUGACUCUGGAAAAAUGUGCUGUUUGUGGAACUGCCUGCAAGCAUCUGGCUCUUUCUGAUAAUCUGAAGCCUCAGGAGAAGAUGUUUUUCAAAAGUCCUGUGGAGACAGCUUUGCAGUAUUUUAGUCACAUCUCUCAGGUGUGGAAUUUCCAGAAGAAACAAACAGAUCUCCUCAUCGCCUUUUAUAAGCAUAGAAUUACAAAGUUAGAAACAGCCAUGCAGGAGGCACAGCAAGCACUGGUCAGCCAGGACAAAGAAUUGUCAGUCUUAAGGAAGGAGAAUGGAGAACUAAAGAAAUUUCUAGCCAUUCUAAAGGAAUCUCCAAGUCGGUACCAAGGAAGCAGGUCAAACACACCUCGACCAGUGGGUAUUACUUCCCCAUCACAAUCAGUUACCCCACGACCCAGUUUCCAGCAUAGCAGUCAAGUGGUCAGUCGAUCCCCCUCAGCAGAAUCCAUUCCUUAUAGAGAGGCUGGCUUUGGUAGCUUGGGACAAGGAGGCAGAGGUCUGCAGGGAAGGAGAACUCCCAGAGACUCUUAUAAUGAAACCCCUUCACCAGCUUCAACUCACAGCCUAUCUUAUAGACCUUCAUCUGCCUCCUCUGGACAGGGGAUUUUUUCUUUCAGACCAUCCCCAAAUGGGCAUUCAGGCCACACAAGAGUCCUCACCCCCAACAAUUUUGCUCAGAGGGAGAGCAGAACUACACUAGAGAGUCUUCCUAGUUUCCAGCUACCAGUCCUGCAGACUCUUUACCAACAACAGCGGCAGAUGGGAUUACCCAGUGGGAGAGAAGCAUGGACCACUUCCAGAUAGAUCAUCUUCAAGUAGGGCAAUUUACUUCUAUAGAAGGAUGCGCCCUCAUAGAUGGAGCAGUGGUUCAUCCAGGACACAAUUGAAAUGGCCUGGGAGGCACUGCUUGCAUGGCCAGGUGCUAAACUACCAUUUAGAAAUUGUGGCCCACUGGGAACACCACCGAAUCCAAGCUGGAGAAUACUUUAUGAUGGCAACGCUUGACAUCUACUUAACCUCAUUUGUGUCCUAUUAUAUAAAGACACAAUAACACUUUAGAGAUAAGGAAAAUAAAGCAUAAGGAACAAAGCAGUCCAGUGUGAGGAUGAAUACUGCCAGAUGGGAAUAUAAGGCAGGCACAUUUAUAAGUAUUAAAAGCUGUAAGGAAGCAUUUUACUUUCGUUUAGGUGGCUUGAUGUCCUUCACAUUUUCAGCAUCAGCUUGAUAUUUCAGUGUAACAUACUGCAAACAACAUAUUUGGUGUACUAUACGCAUUCAGUUUUCACUUACACUUACAAAACACCAGUUAUGGAACACUCCCUGAAACAGAAUGGUGGCUUAAAUCAAGGCACAGCUGUAUAGCUGGUACUUCCCUGGAAGAAUCUGGCUUUGAACUAAGAGAAAACUACAACCAGAAUGGCUUGUGAGAAUUAUAACAGGUAGGGUAGACCCUAUAGUAAUCAAAAUCAUAAUAAAACACUAUAGUAUCUUG